UUGCAGUUGUGCUGUCUUUAGUCAAGCUACAUAGGCAUCCUAGUCCAAGUCCUUAUUAAAUUUCUGAAGAGUACUAUAAUUCAAAGAUAUCUUCAAUUCCCAACCAAGAAGCGAUGCUUAGUUUUGAAUGCAAUGGCAACACGAUGUUCCACGAUAAAACUGACACAAAAAACAAUGCAAAAUUUGUCUAAGAGAGGUUCAGCAAGCAUGAGAAAAACAUCUGAUAACUCUCAGAGCCCGCCAAGUUCGCAGCUUACAGUGCCAGAGUAAUUAUGGGAUGAUUUGAACAGAGGCAAUGCAUGGGGAAGCCACUUCCAAAUGUAUCAGCCUUUCCAGUGAAGGAGCUGCCAAGUUGCCCUGGAUCGGGCAGAUGCUCAAUAAAUGCCAAUUCACAACAAAUAGCUAUCUGAUCAAAAUGUUCUUACUACAUCUUCAAAUCUCUUCUGAUGUAGGUGAUGUUGAAACUUUAUUUGGUCAGGUAAGUGGCCAUAAUAGACCCAUUUAAUGCUGUGUGAUUUGGGCUAUAUAUAGGAUCAAGGCAA
rnacentral:lncRNA from 1 species